rnacentral:rRNA from 1 species
GUCGGACAUCGUGAGGUUAGUGCAAUGGCAUAAGCUAGCUUGACUGCGAGAGUGACGGCUCGAGCAGGUACGAAAGUAGGUCAUAGUGAUCCGGUGGUUCUGAAUGGAAGGGCCAUCGCUCAACGGAUAAAAGGUACUCCGGGGAUAACAGGCUGAUACCGCCCAAGAGUUCAUAUCGACGGCGGUGUUUGGCACCUCGAUGUCGGCUCAUCACAUCCUGGGGCUGAAGUAGGUCCCAAGGGUAUGGCUGUUCGCCAUUUAAAGUGGUACGCGAGCUGGGUUUAGAACGUCGUGAGACAGUUCGGUCCCUAUCUGCCGUGGGCGUUGGAAGAUUGAGAGGGGCUGCUCCUAGUACGAGAGGACCGGAGUGGACGCAUCACUGGUGUUCGGGUUGUCAUGCCAAUGGCAUUGCCCGGUAGCUAAAUGCGGAAAAGAUAAGCGCUGAAAGCAUCUAAGCGCGAAACUUGCCUCGAGAUGAGUCUUCCCUGAGACCUUGAGUCUCCUAAAGGAACGUUUAAGACUAAGACGUUGAUAGGCUGGGUGUGUAAGCGUAGCGAUACGUUGAGCUAACCAGUACUAAUGAUCCGUGAGGCUUAACCUUACAACACCGAAGGUGUUU